AGGAACUGACCCUACCAAGAUGACCGCUACCAAGAUCAUUCCAUGAUAAGGUUUCUUAACACAGGAAGAGUACUCAACUCAAGGCUAACCAAUUACAUCACCAUCCAAAAAUUAUAGGUUGCCGAGGAGUACAACAAAAGACCAACCUACUACAGCCACAAACUAAAAGUCAUCUAGGUUGCCUUCAGAGGAAACACUAUUCGUCAAAGAAGGGGCGUCACCAACUUUGACGUCCAUGCUAGAGACUCCCUCUAUCUCCUCGGGCUCCU
rnacentral:lncRNA from 1 species